UGGUUUUGCACUUAACUCAAGGAAUGCCUAUUCAGUAACCUGCCAUCAAUAGCAAUGACUGAGAGAAAAUUAGUUGUCAAAAAGAAUAUAGUUCUAAUAAUAUAGAUAUGUUGAGGCACUUAACAACAUUAAGAAUUUUAAAUAGCUCAUGAUUGAGGAGAAGUGUAGGAAUGGCAUCGAUACCAUUUUUCCCUUAAGAAACAUUUGGAUGGUGGGAAUGGGAUCUUCGAAUGAACAACAUAAAGCCAGUUGUUCAUAAAAUAUGAUAGGUUGUGAUAGUUAACAGGUCCAUGUGAAAGAACAUUCAGAUUUUUCUUACCAAAAUGAAAAGCACUAAAUCAAGGCACAGAAACAUUACCUGUGCACCAAAGAGGUGAGUACAAGCACGUUAAUGAUGGAUCUAUCUGCUGCUCGUAACAUUAAUAUCUCUGAAGCUUCAAGCAGCAUGAAUUACAGUGCCUCACAUUUUAUGAUCAUGUUUCUUGUCUUUAGUGUAAGUGAUGGAGUAAUAUCUUGAAAAACAAAAUUUCUCCCUCACUUUUCCUUUCCCAAAUUUUCAGCAAAGCAGGUAACCAACCACCAGAGCUCAUAUUAAUUGUUAAAUUAGAAACUGUUAUACAUGGUUACUACCUGUUUUAAUUAUGUCAACAAAAUGCAUCAUCUACAAGAAAGUAUGAGCAUUCAAUUUGAAAUAUGUAUCCAGCAUCCUUCAUUGGAUCUACGAGUUUAAGCAA
rnacentral:lncRNA from 1 species